UACGUUCCCGGGCCUUGUACACACCGCCCGUCACACCACGAAAGUUGGUAACACCCGAAGCCGGUGGCCCAACCCUUAGGGAGGGAGCCGUCGAAGGUGGGAUCAGCGAUUGGGGUG
rnacentral:rRNA from 1 species